GCCUUGGUAACUCAGUGGUCAGAGCGUGUUGGUGUUAAUCCAAAGUUGUGAGUUCAAUUCUCACCUGAGAGCU
rfam:Ciona savignyi cont_18785, whole genome shotgun sequence.